AAGAUUAAGCCAUGCAUGUCUAAGUAUAAGCAAUUAUACCGUGAAACUGCGAAUGGCUCAUUAAAUCAGUUAUCGUUUAUUUGAUAGUACCUUACUACUUGGAUAACCGUGGUAAUUCUAGAGCUAAUACAUGCUGAAAACCCCAACUUCGGGAGGGGUGUAUUUAUUAGAUAAAAACCAACGCCCUUCGGGGCUUCUUGGUGAUUCAUGAUAACUUUACGGAUCGCAU
rnacentral:rRNA from 1 species